CAGCAUGGACGUUGAAAUGUGUAGCAGGCACUUGUGAUACUGAGGGAGCCAGGAGGCCAGCAUGCUCUUUGGUUUGCUUCUGCUAGAGGUGAGGGAAAGGAUACCUUCUGGUAGAUGGGGACCAGUUUGCCAAGUUCCUGAGGAAUGCUGGCUUUUAUCUAACCACCAGGAAUCUGUGGUAAAGUUAAGGCUAUCCAACCUACCAUUGACUGGGUAGCCUUCUGGAGCUCAGCAAGUAAGGCAGGACUCCCUUGUUAGCAGGGUUUCUCCUCCUCCACCUUGGCCAGGAGUUCUAAGCCCUCAGGGGAGGGCCUCUGCCUGAGACGUGUCUCACAGACUCAAUUAGUUUAUAGGAGCAAUUUCCUCUGACGUGACAAAACCUGUUCAGCCAUCACCUGAGAUUUCUGAAAUGCUUCCCCACUGUGGGACCCCGUGUGAUUUACUCAGCGUGCAUACUCACAGGGCUUCUGAACCCCCUGUUUGAUGUUUCUGCUUCCACUGCCUUUGUGGACAGUAUUGGGCAAAGAUUCAUGAGAGUGGGGAGACCCACAGAAAUCCUCCUGUAGCCCAGGUUGAGCUCAUUGCUGGAUAUUUGGAUUGUCUUUGGGAGUUCAGAGAAUUCAAUUUCCUUUGUGACUAACAACAAAAGGAGCUUAUUUGAGCUUACAGUUCCAGAGGGUCAGAGUCCUUAAUGGUGGAACAGAGAUAGAGCAGCAGGAACAGGAGGCUGAAGGCUUACAUCCUGAAGUGCAAGCACGGAGCUGAGAGAGCAAACUGGGAAUAGCCAAAGUCUUUAAACAAUCAAAGCCUGCUCCGGGGACAUCCUUCCUCCAGCAAGGGCUUACCUCUUAAGUCUUCCCCAAAGGGCAUGACCAACUGCAGACCAAAUUAUUCAAAUGUCUGAGACUAUGGGGGGGGGGGACAUCUCCCUCAUAAAAAACUGUGUGUGUGUGUGUGUGUGUGUGUGUGUGUGUGUGUGUGUGUGUGUGUGUGAAAAUAACCACAGAGUGGAUUCAGGGAUUCUGUAAGGUAGGUUUUCCCUACCCAUCCCCCCACUGCUCCCCAGUGCCCCUCCCCGCCAACAGGCCACAGUGACACUUGACUCCCUGGGAAUAAGAGGCCCUGAGUGUAGUAAUCUUUGGAAAGCUGAAUCAUUUCUCUCUCUCCACUGCAUAGUUCCUCUGAAUACGCCUGCAGCUCUAUCUGGAGAAACAGUAUCCGAGAGAGAGGCAGACAGCAUGACAUUUUGGCAGCAUCCCAAAUUCCUUCCUCACAGGUACCCAGCCUCUUCUCCAGUCACACAUCCAAGUGUGGGAAAUGACUGGAGGCUCUGAUUCUGGCUCUGCGGUUUGGGUUGUAUUUCAAGACUCUGGACCCGGAACCCACCCCUUCGGAUGAAGUGUUUCCUUUCUAGGAAUCGCACGUAAGCCCACGGAUGCCAACUGCACCUUCUGUGGGAGCAUGGUUUCUGGUGACAGCGUGAGCCGCACGGAUCUCGGCACAGUUUCUGAUGGCAGUACAGACCACGCACAUCAACACAGCUCUCUGCUGUAGCAUGGGCCAUGGACAUCAUCAACAUGGCCUCCAGGACAACAUGGAUCAUGACACCAAUGUAGUCCCCUGUGGCAGCCCAGCCCAUGGACAUCAACAUGACAUCAGGUGGUAGCACGGACUAGAGUCAACCACAUGGCUCCAGGCAGCAGCAUACACCAUGGACAUUGGCCUGACCCUCAGUGGCAACAGGGCCAUGAACACUAACACGACCCCCCAGCUGCAGCAGCACCGUGGACCCAUCACAGCCCUCAGUAGCAGCAUGGACCAAAAAGAUCAACAUGGCUUAAAGCAGCAGCACAGACCAUAGACAUCCGCAUGACCUUGGGUAGUAACAUGGGCCACAUACACCAAUCCAACCCUGGCUGUAGGAGGACUGCAGACCCAGACAUGGCCCUUGGCAGCAGCACUGGCCAUUCACAUCAACAUGGCCCUCGUUUCCAAAGAUCCUGGUGACUAAGUGACUAGCCACUUUCAUCCCACCCUCUGCCUCUCUCUUCCCUCUCUCCCUCUCUCUGCCCUCAACAUUUCCAGGUCAGGAUGUGAGUGACUUGCUCUAGCACCAUGCCUACCUGCCUGCCACCAUGCUCCCCACCACGAUGGUGAUGGACUAACCCUCCGAGGCUGUAAGCCAGCCCUGAUGAAAUGUUUUCUCUUUUAAGUUGCCUCUAUUGAGGUGUCUCUUCCCAGCAACAAUAUACAGUAGCUAAGUAAGACACCAGGAAUGUUGGAAUCUGAUCCUGUGGCCCCCAUGCUUCAGGCAGGAUCACAUCUCCUCUCAACCCAGGCCCAGACUUUGACAAAGGGCAUAUGUAAGCUUGGAAGCUCACGUUUUGUUGUAAGUGAACCAUCCUAAAAAUCAGACUUGGUGUCUGCUUUUCAGAGCUGUCUUAAGUCAGUGGGAGGAGACAUCACACCCCUGGCAACACAUAAAGAAAACAUUUAAUGGGGGGGGGGGUUGGCUUACAGUUUAAAGGGGGUCAGUCCAUUAUCAUCAGUGUCAGGGCAUAAUGCUGGAGCCAUAGCUGGAAGCUAUGUCCUGAUCCAUGAGCAGAGAGAGAGAGAGAGAGAGAGAGAGAGAGAGAGAGAGAGAGAGAGAGAGAGAGGGAGAGAGACUGGGACUGGCAGGGGUUUUUGAGACCUUAACGGCCUCACAACAGCAACACAUUUCCUUCAACAAGGCCACAUCUCUUGGUCUGUAUCGAAUUCCUUAUCACCAAACCUUAAUCUUUCAAUCCUACCAAGAAGCCCCACUUCUCUCUGGUGACUAAGCAUUAAAAUACAUGAGCGUGUGGGGGCCAUUGUUAUUCAAACCCAUAACCAGUGACUCUGGGAAACACAGUUCAUGUAGAAAGUCUAUAGGGAGCUUCAGAUCCCUUAUGGAGCUCCUGGGCAUAUGUCCCUGACCUCACCUGGUUCCCCAAAGCUAAGCAGGCCUGGGUCUGCUGGUUAGUUCUUGGCUGGGAGAACUUGAGCUGGACCCUUAAAGCUCUGAGCUCACCAUUUUUGUCCCUCAACUCUUCUGCACGGUGAGACCAGGCCCCCAUAUAUCACUUCUACUGAGGUGUCCUGUGGGGGUAAAACUCUGUCACACAAAACCUGUGAUCUACAGGAUCCUGACACAGGAAACUACCAGUGACUGAGUAACAAUUAGCCACAUUCCUGCCAUGGGCCAUUGCCGUUCUCCUUCUCACUGGAAAUGGGGUAAUGAAAGAAUGAAUUCCUUUGAAUCUAAUUAGGUCAGAGAGCAGUCCCAGGGAGCUCAAGGCUCAUCUAUAAGUUCUUCUUUCUCCUCUUUUCUGCCCUCCUCUUCCUCCUCCUCUUCUUCCUCCUCUUCUUCUUCCUCUUCCUCCUCCUCUUCUUCCUCUUCCUCCUCCUCCUCUUUCUUCUCCUUUCUUUCUUCCUCCUCUUCCUCUGAUGAUGCUGGGGAUGGGACCCAGGAAUUCAUGUUAGGCAAACAUUCUACCACUGAGCUCCACCCCCAGUGAAACUCUGUUCUCUGUUCUUCUGAGCCAUUCUGAAUACCAAAGUCUGUAUUAGCAAAGCUUAAUCUUUAAUUCACACACAGAUACAUGCACACAGAUGUGUACGCACACACACGCACACACACACACAUACACACACUCUAUACUCAGACACACAUAUGCACACAUAUAUAUACACACUAUAUACAGAUACAAACAUGCACACACAUAUACACACUAAACUGAUACAAACAAUAUAUAUACAAUACAAUAUGUGCUGAUAAACAUGUAUACACAUAUAUAGUCAUGCUAGACACAGAAAUAUACGUGCACACACACUAUAUAUAUACACUAUACACAGAUACACACACAUAUUUAUGUACACAUAUGUGUACAAGUAUACAUACACUCUGCACAUGAAGACACAUAUUAUACAGACUAUACACAAACCCAUACAUACAUAUAUACACACUAUUCACAGACACACACAUGCAUAUAUAAUACCUAUAUGUACAAGUAUAUACAUACUAUGAACAUAGACACACAUACACAUGCACACACAUAUGUACAUUUAUACACACUAUACACUCACAUAUACACACACACAUAUAUAUACAUUUAUUCACACUAUAUACUCACAUAUACACACACAAAUAUAUAUAUACAUUUAUUCACACUAUCCACUCAUACACACACAUAUAUACACAUUUAUUCACACUAUAUACUCACAUAUACACACACAGAUAUAUAUAUAUACAUUUAUUCACACUAUACACUCAUACACACACAUAUAUACACAUUUAUUCACACUAUAUACACAUAUACACACAUGCACACAUAUAUACACACACAUAAAUAUAUACACUCUACACACACACACAUAUAUAUACACUAUACAUACACAGGUAGAUGCACAGUUUAGCCUUGAACAAGUCCUGGAGCUAGUGAGACUCUUUGAAGCUGUGGCCCCUGGGAUGGUGCUGGAGUUCAAAGCCCGUAGAGCAGAUCAGGCAGGUGUGAUCAGGGACAGUGAAGAGCGACUUAGAACCCACACGUGCAAACUAGAGCCAGCAGGAUGAAUUGAGCUGGCCACUUCAGUCAGUUUAUGUUGCCUUUGACCUUAGAGUGUUGUAACAAGGCACAAGAGGUGGCUGUUAUUUAAGCACCAGCUGCUCCUUGGGUCUGAGACUCAUCUUUCUCAGGCAAUCUCUUCUGCUCUCACGGGGAUCUCAGGAGCAAUGGGUGUGAUGAAUCAAAGCCCUGUGCCUGGAGCCUAAAUUACCCCUAGGCAACAACUUAUCUUGAAAAGGCCCUGUCUGACCAAACUCAGCUAACAGUCCAGGUCUGUAGGACUCUUAUCUGGCCUGUGAGCUCACAGCAGAGGACCCCUGUGCUCUUGACUUUCUGCAGUCCCUAUGCUGAUGAACUCUCUUGUCCUGAUCAUUCAUUUUUCCUGUCCGGAGCAAGACCUGGAUUAGUCUGGACCCAUAGUCAGGCCUCUGGCCUAGGACACUUCAGUAUCUAUACAACAAACAAACAGUGUGGGUGUCCUGCUGGAGCAAUCAGAUGGCCAAGUUCACAAACUACACUCAUAGUUGGAAAGCCUGAAGGAGGAUCAAGGGAAAGACUACCAUUUGGGUGAAGGGAAUUCUGGGAAGUGUAGUUUAAAAUAGCCAAGUUAGUGAUGGUACCUGGAAUGGUUUUCAGUUGCUUGCUUGAUUGCUUUUUUGGGCUACGCAUGUAUGUGCAUGCACAUACAUGUGCUGAUGUACAUUUGCAUGUGAGCACAUGUGAUGUCAGAGGACAGUUUUUGGUUGUGUCUUCAGGCACCAUCUACCUGGUUUUGUUUUGUUUUGUUUUGUUUUGCACUGUGCUGUGAUGUGAAAACCUUCCCCUUAAACUUACAUUGGAGUGGCUGUGUUAUCAAUGUUGACUCUGUGUGUGUGUGUGUGUGUGUGUGUGUGUGUGUGUAUGUGAGAGAGAAAGAGAGAGAUCUGUUUGGUGUGUGCAUAUGUGUGUGUACGUGUGUGUGUGUGUGUCAGAGAGAGAGAGAGAGAGAGAGAGAGAGAGAGAGAGAGAGUGAGCAAGAGGGAGGAGUCCCUCACACUACAGGAGGGAAGAUAUGGCAGAUCUGCUUGGUGUGUGCGUGCACAUGUGUGUGUGUGUGCAUGUGCGUGUGUCUGUCCUCACAUUAUAGAGGAUCAGGAAGCAGAGGUCAAUACUCAAGGCUAAGAAUCACCUGCUAGGGUUCACCCGGCCAGUAGUCUCCUUCCUCAAGCCAGACCCUGCCUCCAAAAGUCUCCACAGCCUUCAAGAGCACCAUAUACUAAGUGCACGACAUUUAAAACAUGAGCCCAUGAGGGACCACGACUGUGCCACACAAAGAGGCCUUACACGUAUAAAACCACCAAGGAGAAUCUUUAAUGAUGCUUUAAGGAGAUGUUUUAAUUACUUUUAAUUGUGUGUGUGCGCACACACACUCUCUCAACUCCUCCAGCACCAUGCCUGCCUGCGUGCUAAACCUCUGAAACUGUAAGCCAGUCCAUUAAGUGUUGUCCUUUAUAAGAGUUGUUGUGGUCAUGGUGUCUCUUCACAGCAAUGAAACCCUAACUAAGACACACAGUAAGCAUUUUACCAACUGAGCUGUCUCCCAGCCUAGGUGUGAGCCACCACACGCAGUUUACACUCUGUUUCAAAUCCUGUUUAACCUAUCUCUCAUCACUGACAGCCAGAGCCAUUCACCAGCCUGCCUGAGACCCAGCACCCCACACCCAGGCGGGCAUGGGAUAUCCGUGCAUAUACACUUCACAUGGGAAUAUCUAGGCUCAUGCAUUUGUGCCCUGAAAGUCCCAAGAGGCCACAGUGUCAAGAGUCACCUUUCCCUUUAAAAAGAUUCUUUCCAGCUAGUGCAAUUUGGCUUUGAGUCCUCCAAAGCAAAAGCCUUGACAACUGUAUGCAGGAGGUUGGAUGAAUGACAAGACCAACUCCAUUAGCUUUUGGCAAGAGUCCCAUUCAGCACACCUCGUCUCAGAGUGGAGGAGGAGGACAGACCACAGGGCGGCAGGAAAAAAAAAAAGGUGCUUUAGCCUCAGAAGCAUUCGGAUGGCUAAUGAGUACCCUCAGGGGAACCCAGGAGAGAUUUCUGGAAGUUCUCCAAGUUGGAGAUUCCAUGUGGCUGAGCCCUGUAAGUCCUAAGAAACUGCAGUGUCAAGAUUUACUUUUCCUUUUAUAUUUAAAGAAAAGAUAGUCCAUACACGUGAACAGAGAGAGAGGAUGGGGCAGAGGAAGGGAGAGGAAGGGGAAGGGGAAGGGAGAGGGAGAGGGAGAGAGAGAGAGAGAGAGAGAGAGAGAGAGAGAGAGAGAGAGAGAGAGAGAGAGAGAACACCUUUCUUCAGACCCGAACAUACUUCAAUUUCUGUGAUGAGACAGAGAAAUAAAACUCUAAGCCACCAUUGUGCCUGCAGAGUUCUCACCACAUGAAAUGGUCAGCAGGUCUUAUCCAUCAAUGUCUGGUUCUCUCCAUACAAGAAAGUUAUGUCUUUCUGUUGUUGUGAUCUGAACCCGAGAUUCCCCCACCCCACCCCCACACACAUACACAUAACAGGCUCACCAUCUGAAAUGGUGGUAGAGCUAUUUUGGGAGACUUUGGGCUCUUCAGAAGGUGAAUCCUGUCUGCCAGAGCAUUUGCCAGAGUCCCCCAGUGAGGGGCAAGGGUGUGGCUAAGCAUGGAGUUCUUGCCUAGUACAUGCAUGGCCCUCAGUUCCAUCCCCAGCCGCCAACAUAUACUCAAAGAUUCUAGACCAGACGUUUCUUCUACAGUUGCUCUCUGCUUCCUGCUUCUGUAAAACCAACUCAGACAUCUCAGAAAACUCCUGAAACUUACAAGAUUCACAGGGUCUCUCCUCAGGGUUAAAGAGCCUGUAACAACAGCUAAAGAAUUUUUUUCCCUCAGGACCCUAAGCUGCCUACAAGUAAAGUAAGCAGCUUCAAGGAGUUGCCCCCAAGGCUAAGUGGGAUUGUCAGCGAUUUAGCUGCUUUUAAAUCACCCAUGUUGCUCUUCAAACCCCCUUACCCUACUCCUGUGAGCAACCCACAUAAAUUUACAGAGUCACAGAGUCACUAAAUUA